CUUAAUUUGGCGUGGUUAAUAACAUACUUCAUGUGUGACAGGCUUGAAAUAUGGAGUGUCUAGACUCACUUUAAAGUACAAAACUUAAACUGAGCUUGAGGCACGGGAGGAUCAAGAUGGCUUCUUAUCAGGAUCAUGGUGUAGAACUCCCACAGAUUCAAGAAGAGGCACCCCAUGUAGAGGGAUGGGAACAAGAGAUUCAGAAAGAGGUAUAUAUUUUUGUUUGUUAAGUUUGAGUUCCAGUCUCAUUUAAAGAUUUUUGCAUGAGCUUUUCUUAUUUAAUUAUUUUUAAUGUUCAAUAACCCCAUCAUACCAAAAGAGAUUGAUCGAUAAGCAAAUAAAAUUGAAGGAUGAGAUUUACUUCGGAAGGGGUGAGAGAGAAGCUGCCUAUUUUUUUUUUUUUUUUCUUAAUUAGUUCAUGUUUUGAAAUUUGAGUUUAGAAAAUAUAACUUGCCUAUAAAUUAAUUAAUAACAGUCUACUUAUCAUGUCCCACAGAAAACAAAUAUAAUUCACAAUUGGUACAGAUUAAAAUAUACCAAGCAAACAAAUCCAUUUGAGAAAGCUGAUAUAAUGCUAAUCAAUUCUCAAUCUGUUCAAUCAUGACGAGACCAGUAUAUUAUUAGAUAACAAAUAACAUAAUUCUCUGGGAAAAAACACAAACACUCCUUCACUAUUUGCUAAACUGUAGCGAUGUCAUUUAAUGCCUAUUUAUGCCUCAUACCUAUCACAUAUUAAAAAGGAAAACACAUACGUUCUUGCACAAAAGAUAAACUACCCACACAAUUAUGGAAUUUACCAAACACUACCAAUAACAACCAACUAUUAACACUAUAACAACAGAAAAUCAAUCUAUACCCUAAUGCGUGUAAAGAUAAGAACAUUUACCUUCCUAGGCCGGCCGACAGGCCUGCCAGAAUUCUUCUUAGGCUUCAGCUUCAUAACCCCAGGAACCUUAGCCGGGCGACCCGGUCGCUUAGCCUGCACCAUCACAACAGCGCCAGCAGAAGUUGGGGUUGCACCCUUCCUUGGCCUGCCUCUGGGCUUUGGUGAUGCCACAUUAAACACAGCUGCUGCAUCAGUAGCAGUAGCAGUAGGAGAAGCAACAGCGUAAGGAACAGUAACUGGCUUUAACUGAUUCUUAGGUGGACGUCCAGGACCCUUUUUAGCACCCACCAAAGACUUAGGCUUUCUGGGCCUUCCUGGACUCUUCUUGGACCCCAACGGCCCGCUAUUCGGUGGCCUCCCUCUUCCUUUCUUCACCACCAACGGCCCAGCUUCAGUCACCACCAUCUUCUUUGGCCGUCCUCGGCCUUUCCUCCCCGUUGAGGUGGAGUCAAUAGGAGUCCCAACAGAACUCACAACAAGCUGACUUUGAGUCUGGGCAGUAACAGAAACAUGUGAGCCAAGACCAGUCUGUGGCUGCCCAUUAGCAAGCACAGACGCAGGAGUUGGAGGAAGCCCAUUAGCCUUAGUUUUAGGGGGCCUUCCACGGCCCCUUUUCUGCUCAGGAGGAGCUGAAGAGAUAGGAGCAACAUACUGUGGCUGAAUUUGAGGUGGGUUAGUAGAAACAGUAGCUGUGGUAGUUAUAGUAGCACUGAUGUCUGUGUUAAUGUCAGAUCUGGGUAACAAGUAAGAUUUCUUGUUGAGAACAAGAGCCCCACUAUUUUUCAAGCGUUUUAAGUGAUGUGUCAACAAAUCAGAGUGACUCGGUGAUAAACCAGGGUAAGCUCUCUCUAUAUACUUUGCUAUGGCUA